CAGAGAAUAGUUUAUUUAAAAUAUUAAUUUUGGAGGUUAAUGAUAGGAGUGUUUCUUUUCUCUGA
rnacentral:tRNA from 1 species